rnacentral:rRNA from 1 species
CCUACGGGUGGCUGCAGUCGAGAAUCAUUCACAAUGGGGGAAACCCUGAUGGUGCGACGCCGCGUGGGGGAAUGAAGGUCUUCGGAUUGUAAACCCCUGUCAUGUGGGAGCAAAUUAAAAAGAUAGUACCACAAGAGGAAGAGACGGCUAACUCUGUGCCAGCAGCCGCGGUAAUACAGAGGUCUCAAGCGUUGUUCGGAAUCACUGGGCGUAAAGCGUGCGUAGGCUGUUUCGUAAGUCGUGUGUGAAAGGCGCUGGCUCAACCCGCGGACGGCACAGGAUAAUGGGAGACUAGAGGAAUGGAGGGGGAACCGGAAUUCGCGGUGUAGCAGUGAAAUGCGUAGAUAUCGAGAGGAACACUCGGGGCGAAGGCGGGUUCCUGGACAUUAACUGACGCUGAGGCACGAAGGCCAGGGGAGCGAAAGGGAUUAGAUACCCCAGUAGUC